CAGCAAUUUUUCUUGAUAACAUCUCAAACCAAUCAGCAGAACCAUUCUCUGAAGACCCAGAAGCAAAAUAAUCCUUUUCAACUUUUUUCUCUACCUUCCUCUUCUUUUUUUGACCUCUAACAGGACCCAUCACUCAAUUGAAUCAAAAUCAAGAAACCCCACUUGCUUCAAACAACCAAAAUCACAGCAACUUCAAUGAAUUCAAAGAUAACACAAACCCCAUUUCUUGCAAAUACCAAAAAAAAACACAACGAAAGAUCAUAAAUUCAUAAUCAUAUACAAGAUAAACAAAAAACAUGCAAAACUACAUAUGCAAAUAGAAAAAUAAAUAAAAUUAACUCACCCCAUUUCUUGAUGCCAAUGGUUUGUGUUUUUGUUGAGUGGCUUUCUUGAAAUGUUUCAAAGCAUGCAAAGUGUAUAUUGUCAAAGAAAAAAGAAGUGUCUACAUAUUGCAGGUGUGUGAAAGCUAGCCCGAAUACAGUGGUUAAGUGACUAUUGUGGGUUUUGACAUAAAAAAAUGGACACACUAUAGAUAGGAAGAAUGCUUUAUGGGAAAAUUAAUGUAACAAGAAAACAAUAUAGAGGUUUUGUUGUGUUUGUAUUUCCUUAAAAAGACAAUGUGAAAGACAUGAAAAUGGUGGAGACUGUCUUUACAAUGGUCAAUACUCAGAGAUUUAAGAGAGAAACUAACGGGGCUUGUAAAAGGUUUUAGUCAAGUUGUUGAUAUUACCAAUUUGUAAUAAUUCUUUGCUAGAUCCAUAAUCUAGAUUAAGGAAUAAUUUAGAGAGAA
rnacentral:lncRNA from 1 species